ACACGGAGCUUGCUCUGUGGGAUCAGUGGCGAACGGGUGAGUAACACGUGAGCAACCUGCCCCUGACUCUGGGAUAAGCGCUGGAAACGGCGUCUAAUACUGGAUAUGUGACGUGACCGCAUGGUCUGCGUUUGGAAAGAUUUUUCGGUUGGGGAUGGGCUCGCGGCCUAUCAGCUUGUUGGUGAGGUAAUGGCUCACCAAGGCGUCGACGGGUAGCCGGCCUGAGAGGGUGACCGGCCACACUGGGACUGAGACACGGCCCAGACUCCUACGGGAGGCAGCAGUGGGGAAUAUUGCACAAUGGGCGAAAGCCUGAUGCAGCAACGCCGCGUGAGGGAUGACGGCCUUCGGGUUGUAAACCUCUUUUAGCAGGGAAGAAGCGAAAGUGACGGUACCUGCAGAAAAAGCGCCGGCUAACUACGUGCCAGCAGCCGCGGUAAUACGUAGGGCGCAAGCGUUAUCCGGAAUUAUUGGGCGUAAAGAGCUCGUAGGCGGUUUGUCGCGUCUGCUGUGAAAUCCCGAGGCUCAACCUCGGGCCUGCAGUGGGUACGGGCAGACUAGAGUGCGGUAGGGGAGAUUGGAAUUCCUGGUGUAGCGGUGGAAUGCGCAGAUAUCAGGAGGAACACCGAUGGCGAAGGCAGAUCUCUGGGCCGUAACUGACGCUGAGGAGCGAAAGGGUGGGGAGCAAACAGGCUUAGAUACCCUGGUAGUCCACCCCGUAAACGUUGGGAACUAGUUGUGGGGUCCAUUCCACGGAUUCCGUGACGCAGCUAACGCAUUAAGUUCCCCGCCUGG
rnacentral:rRNA from 1 species